UCCAGGUUGAUAUUGCCUAAGAACUG
rnacentral:piRNA from 1 species